CCAGUUACGAGUAAUGCAUUUUCUUUAAGUCAUCAUCCUAUUCCUUGCUCAUAAUUUCAAAUCAGCUUCAGCAAGUAAUCAAUCAACAAAUCCAAAUGAGGAUCACAAUCAUCUGGUUAAUCUCACUUCACCUGCCCCUUUUCGUCAUUUCAUCUCGAUUAAUCCCCCACCCGCAAUGCAUCCGACCCGACCCGACCACCCUCCGCUCUGACCAGAUGACCGUCGUGAUCAACGGCUACUCGGAGCACCGUAUCCCGCUACUCCGCUCCAUCACCGCCGCCUACUCCGCCUCGCCCUCAGUCGCCGCCGUCAUCCUCCUCUGGUGCAACCCCUCCACGCCGACCCGCACACUAUCCGACCUCACUCAAAAUCUAUCCGCCGCCGUGCUCCGCGCGCCCUCCGCCAGCCUCAACCACCGAUUCCACCCCUGGGAGGUGAUCCAGACCCGAGCCGUCCUGAUCUGCGACGACGACAUCGAACCCGACCUGAAUUCCAUCUCCUUCGCCUUCAAUGUGUGGAGAUCCGACCCGAAUCGGGCGGUUGGGUUCUUCGCCCGGUCGCACGCGUACGACGUGGCGACGAGGGCGUGGAUCUACGCGAUGGAGAGGGAGAAGUACUCGAUUGUGCUCACGAAGCUCAUGAUCGUGAGCGCCGAGUACCUCGGGAUCUACUCGUGCGACGCGCGGUACGCGGCGGCGAGGGAGAUUGUGGAUGAGAUGAACAAUUGCGAGGAUAUUCUGAUGAAUUUCGUGGUGGCGGAGGAGAGUGGGAAGGGGCCGGUGAUGGUGGGGGCGAGGGGAGGGGGAAUUAGGGAUUACGGCGACGCGAGGAACGAUGGCGUGGCGGCGGGGAUGAGGGAGGUGGGGCUGAGCAGUAGGAGAGUGGAGCACAGGAAGAGGAGAGGGGAGUGCAUAACGCGGUUUCAUAGGGUUUUGGGGAGAAUGCCGUUGAAGUAUAGCUAUGGGAAAAUGGUGGAUGAUGUUGGGGAACAGGGGCUGUGUGACAAGGGUGGGAAACUGAUGCUUUGUGAUCAUCAAGAUUUCAGAUGAUGAUGAUGAAAUUGAAAGAUAAGAUGGUUCUGAUGACGAUAGAGGCAGCCAAAUUGACAAGGAUAGAGGCAGCCAAAUUGCCCUCAAAUGGGCUACCGACAAUCUCCUUAUAAAAGGGCCUAACCAUGCGUCUGAAGCUGGCGACGAAAUUGGAGA